rnacentral:lncRNA from 1 species
CACAGCUUGAGAGAGUGGGCAAUUAUACAGAAGGGCAAGAACCUUUGAAAGGGCUUUCCCCACAGUGAUCCUGUAAAAUUGUAAUCUCACCUCAUACCAUAAGAAACAAGGGUUUUUUAAGUUUAAGGAUUGACUGGAAUUCUUGACAUCCUUAUUUAAAAAAAAAAUACAAUUUAUCUUCUUGUGAGUAAGGAAACAGUUGUGGGGUUUUUUGGGGGGUAUUUUUAAUUCUUUGUCAAUAAAUGGGAGGAUUGACCUCAAGAUAUAUGAUUUCAUGCUUUUCCUGAGAGACAACCUGUGUGGACCUGAAUUUUGCUUCAAAAUAAGAAAGCCAACCUCGAAAUGAUGAGGCACAACCAUAAAGUACCAGUACCCAAGCCACGUUUUCAAUUACAGGACAACAUCUGCUGAGGAAAAAGGACAUGGCUCAAAAAAAAAAAAA